rnacentral:rRNA from 1 species
UACGAAGGGGGCUAGCGUUGUUCGGAAUCACUGGGCGUAAAGGGCGCGUAGGCGGCUUUAUAAGUCGGGGGUGAAAGCCUGUGGCUCAACCACAGAAUUGCCUUCGAUACUGUAGAGCUUGAGACCGGAAGAGGUUAGUGGAACUGCGAGUGUAGAGGUGAAAUUCGUAGAUAUCGGGAGGAACACCGGUGGCGAAGGCGGCUUCCUGGACCGACACUGACGCUGAGGCGCGAAAGCUAGGGGAGCAAACGGG